CCUACGGGAGGCAGCAGUGAGGAAUAUUGGUCAAUGGGCGCGAGCCUGAACCAGCCAAGUAGCGUGAAGGAUGACUGCCCUACGGGUUGUAAACUUCUUUUAUAAAGGAAUAAAGUGAGGCACGUGUGCCUUUUUGUAUGUACUUUAUGAAUAAGGAUAGGCUAACUCCGUGCCAACAGCCGCGGUAAUACGGAGGAGCCGAGCGUUAUUCGGAUUUAUUGGGUUUAAAGGGAGCGUAGAUGGGUUGUUAAGUCAGUUGUGAAAGUUUGUGGCUCAACCGUAAAAUUGCAAUUGAUACUGGCAGCCUUGAGUACAGUGGAGGUAGGCGGAAUUCGUGGUGUAGCGGUGAAAUGCUUAGAUAUCACGAAGAACUCCGAUUGCGAAGGCAGCCUACUAAACUGCCACUGACAUUGAUGCUCGAAAGUGUGGGUAUCAAACAGGAUUAGAUACCCGGGUGUC
rnacentral:rRNA from 1 species